CUGACCCCUUUUCUGAUGGAAUAUCAUUUUCACAAGGCAAUCUCCAUUUAAUGUUAACCAUCAAAGCAUCUUAAGCCAAAGAAGUUGCCGAAACCUUUAUCCCCUGAGGUGGGAGUUCUCCUCCUUUCGUAGGAGGCCUUCUUCCAACAACAAAGGCCGGUUUAAAGGAAAAUCUGAAAGGCCAUCGGCAAAUUGAUGUCAUGGUGGUCAUUGUGACAGUGUCUUCAUCAUCUGGUCGCAGGGAGCCCAGUUAGGAUAAUUCACCAACUCACAAUAACCAAGGAACGGAUUAGAAGAAUGGGUCACCUUUAUGUUUGUAGAGGGGCUCCCUGCUGAUUCUUCCAAGAGGGUGUAAAAUUGUCCUGGAGGUGACCAUGAAAAAUUACAGGCUGUGUGCAGCAUUGAGAGUUUCUCUCUAAGAUUUGUUCAACCAAUAUGGCCAUUAUUGAGAAUUCUGAGAGUUGAAGUCCACAAAUCUGGAAGAUGUUGAAGUUCGGAAAUGAUACCCAUUCUCUCUUGUACUAGUGAUUGUUUUCCAACAUACUCCACAAAGCCUGAUGCAUCCUGGUUCAAACAUUUCCCAUGGACCUUAUAACCAUAUUCAGGUGAUUGUUACUUCCAAACAUUUUUUCAAGGAAAAUUUUGAUAGGAAAUAUAAUGCUGGCCAAGGAUUUUUAGAGUUCUCAGCAAAUAUUUCUGUUCUGCAUGCAUUUAUACUAUUUGAUAGACUGCAACAUAUGCUUCAGGGUUUCAUUAAAUAUCCUAAUACAUU